UACGAAGGGGGCUAGCGUUGCUCGGAAUUACUGGGCGUAAAGGGCGCGUAGGCGGACAGUUUAGUCAGAGGUGAAAGCCCAGGGCUCAACCUUGGAAUUGCCUUUGAUACUGGCUGUCUUGAGUUCGGGAGAGGUGAGUGGAAUGCCGAGUGUAGAGGUGAAAUUCGUAGAUAUUCGGCGGAACACCAGGGGGGAAGGGGACUCCCUGGCCCGAAACUGACGCUGAGGCGCGAAAGCGUGGGGAGCAAACAGG
rnacentral:rRNA from 1 species